rnacentral:rRNA from 1 species
AGAGUUGAUCCUGGCUUAGGACGAACGCUGGCGGCGUGCCUAACACAUGCAAGUCGAGCGAGGAGAUUCCUUCGGGAUGAUCCUAGCGGCGGACGGGUGAGUAACACGUGGGCAACCUGCCUCAUAGAGAGGAAUAGCCUUCCGAAAGGGAGAUUAAUACCUCAUAACAUUGCAGUUUCGCAUGGAACAGCAAUUAAAGGAGUAAUCCGCUAUGAGAUGGGCCCGCGGCGCAUUAGCUAGUUGGUGAGGUAACGGCUCACCAAGGCGACGAUGCGUAGCCGACCUGAGAGGGUGAUCGGCCACAUUGGGACUGAGACACGGCCCAGACUCCUACGGGAGGCAGCAGUGGGGAAUAUUGCACAAUGGGGGAAACCCUGAUGCCAGCAACGCCGCGUGAGUGAUGACGGCCUUCGGGUUGUAAAGCUCUGUCUUCAGGGACGAUAAUGACGGUACCUGAGGAGGAAGCCACGGCUAACUACGUGCCAGCCGCCGC